GGAAUAGGGAGCCAAAGUUCCUCGAGAAUGAAGACAAACUGGCAAGCCAGUUGUUACAUUCUGCACUUAAUAAAGUGAUCGUACUCCGAGACCAAUAUGAUUGGUUUAUCGCGAAAAACGCGUCGGAGAUGUACUUUCCUUUUGGAUAUUUAGAUAAUCCAAAAGACAAAGUACCUCUAAACGAUCUACCGGGGCCUUACUUAGCCCUGGUGACCGAGAUCGAGCAAUUCUUUGAAAUGCUCAUCGGUUUAGAGAUGAACUGGACUGAUCGUCCAGAGGCUAUAUACCAAGACCUUUAUAUGGAAAUGGAUGCCACACUUUAUUAUGAGGAGGCCCUUGAGCUUCACGAAAGAGUUGAUAAACUCGAGUUUAAACUUAAACCUUAUGAAGGUCGAGAAAAACCCGGGAAAACAAUCCACGAGACAGCUCCAAUACUUACUGCUUUACGCGGUGUUAUUGGAACAGGUCUACGAAGAUGGAACAACUCUCCUAAUCUAGUAAAUAUUAGUAAAUUACUAGCUUAGGCGUGGUAGGAAUCCCCCGCCUGUUAAUCAGAUGAAAGGCUCCUCAAUAGAGAGACCGACCCCGAGGGGACGACUCUACGAUGAGGAUUCUAUCUGUUAACCUCUUGACACUUCGAGAAAUCUUUGUUAAGUUUAUUAACAAUAAAAACCAUGCCCUUAGGUCCGGAUGAAAUACCGGGAAACCAUGGGGGAUCGUUCUUAUCAAAGAACUCCAAGAAACGGAAGAGGAAGACAGAUGUGUCCAACUCGCAUAAAAUCUAUGCGCAUCGGCCUGACCAAGGGCACUAGGUGUUAUACUAGGUAACUUGGAAGGGGACCGAAGGUGUGGAAACCUUUCUAUCCGAUUCAUCGGGUGGUGCUUCUUAUUUUACAAACCAGAGUGGUUCACUAAAGAACCCUUCUCGGCUUAGUACCCAACGAGGCUUCUCUUUACAGAAAAGCGCAGUUAGGACUAAGGUCCGAUCUUAAC
rnacentral:misc_RNA from 3 species